rnacentral:lncRNA from 1 species
GAGACCGAGAAGACUGCUGGUUGAGGAAAGGUCCCAGAUCUUAACCCCAGAUCUUUCUGAUCUUAAAGGCAGAAAGUUGAAGCACACAGGGAGAGCUAAGAGACUCUGCAGUGAAGACCCAGCAGACUACAGUGGUUGGUAUGAAAAAUUGAAACAGCUGCCUGGCCGGAAACCAUCCCACUGAUGCCAGCAGCUGCCCUGCCAGACCACGCUGUGAGGGGCCUUGUGGUAUCUGAAUCCACACAACAGAGGUGCCGGGGGGAACACAAAGGCUGUGGCUGUGAGCCCCAGAAGAUAGAGAAGAAGUGAACAACAGAGAGGGCCUCUCUGAGGCUCCUCAAUGAAAAUUGAAACCCACUGGGAAAAUGAAGAAAAUCUCUUCAAUAAAAGCACACUGGACCAUCGUGGUUGAAUUGUUCUAUAUGAUUCGGAUACAUACAAAACAGUGGAGGAAGAAUCAAUCAAUUGAGCUUUGACAAUUGGCAGCCCAUGUAGAAAAAACAAGACAUUGGUAAGUUAUUCUAUAUCAGAACCAAAAAUAAAUUACAGAUUGGUUAAAAAUUUAAAUGUGAAAAUAACUAUAAACUUUUGAACUUCAAAAAAAAAAAUAGCCAACAGGACCUUUAUCAGCCCAAUUAAGGUAAGCAGGCAAGAACCUGAAUGGACAUUAUCAAAAACUUAUACCGUAGCAAAAUUAAAUUUUAGUGGUUUCCAAAGGAUAGUGUCAAAAAAGUAAAAACCAAG